rnacentral:rRNA from 1 species
AGCGAACGCUGGCGGCAGGCUUAACACAUGCAAGUCGAGCGCCCGUAGCAAUACGGGAGCGGCAGACGGGAGAGUAACACGUGGGAACGUACCCUUUGGUUCGGAACAACACAGGGAAACUUGUGCUAAUACCGGAUAAGCCCUUACGGGGAAAGAUUUAUCGCCGAAGGAUCGGCCCGCGUCUGAUUAGCUAGUUGGUGGGGUAAUGGCUCACCAAGGCGACGAUCAGUAGCUGGUCNGAGAGGAUGACCAGCCUCAUUGGGACUGAGACACGGCCCAAACUCCUACGGGAGGCAGUAGUGGGGAAUAUUGGACAAUGGGCGCAAGCCUGAUCCAGCCAUGCCGCGUGGGUGAUGAAGGCCCUAGGGUUGUAAAGCCCUUUCGGCGGGAAGAUAAUGACGGUACCCGCAGAAGAAG